UUUAUAUACUAAAAUUAUAAGUAGACAAUAAAAAUACUAAAUAAUGUAAACAAUUGAUAUAUCGGAUGUUUAAUUCACUAGAUGUACGGAUGAUUAUUCUAAUAUUAAAAUUUAAGUAGGUAAUUUAGGAGUGUAAUGUAU